rnacentral:rRNA from 1 species
UAGCAUAUCAAUAAGCGGAGGAAAAGAAACCAACAGGGAUUGCCCUAGUAACGGCGAGUGAAGCGGCAACAGCUCAAAUUUGAAAUCUGGCUCUUUUAGGGUCCGAGUUGUAAUUUGCAGAGGGCGCUUUGGCGUUGGCAGCGGUCCAAGUUCCUUGGAACAGGACGUCACAGAGGGUGAGAAUCCCGUACGUGGUCGCUGGCCUUCGCCGUGUAAAGCCCCUUCGACGAGUCGAGUUGUUUGGGAAUGCAGCUCUAAAUGGGAGGUAAAUUUCUUCUAAAGCUAAAUACUGGCCAGAGACCGAUAGCGCACAAGUAGAGUGAUCGAAAGAUGAAAAGCACUUUGGAAAGAGAGUCAAAUAGCACGUGAAAUUGUUGAAAGGGAAGCGCUUGCAGCCAGACUUGCCUGUAGUUGCUCAUCCGGGCUUUUGCCCGGUGCACUCUUCUGCGGGCAGGCCAGCAUCAGUUUGGGCGGUUGGAUAAAGGUCUCUGUCAUGUACCUCUCUUCGGGGAGGCCUUAUAGGGGAGACGACAUGCAACCAGCCUGGACUGAGGUCCGCGCAUUUGCUAGGAUGCUGGCGUAAUGGCUGUAAGCGGCCCGUCUUGAAACACGGACCAAGGAGUCUAACAUCUAUGCGAGUGUUUGGGUGUCAAGCCCGAGCGCGCAAUGAAAGUGAACGGAGGUGGGAACCCUUAAGGGUGCACCAUCGACCGAUCCUGAUGUCUUCGGAUGGAUUUGAGUAAGAGCAUGGCUGUUGGGACCCGAAAGAUGGUGAACUAUGCUUGAAUAGGGUGAAGCCAGAGGAAACUCUGGUGGAGGCUCGCAGCGGUUCUGACGUGCAAAUCGAUCGUCAAAUUUGGGCAUAGGGGCGAAAGACUAAUCGAACUAUCUAGUAGCUGGUUCUGC